UUACAUUGUAUGGUUAUGCCAAACAUUUACAAAACACAUAAAGUAUGUAUUUACAUUAUAGACAGUGUGCAACACACUGAUGUGGUAAUACUGUGUAAUUAACAAAAGCGGGAAGCUGGUUGAACCCCCCCCAAAAAAAACCUGGUUCAAUUGUGUGUUUUGUUUUGCUUGCUUGGAGUAGAGGUAAUUGUUUCUGGCCUUUCCUUUUAUUAGUAGGAGACUGAUUGUUUUUCUAAUGAAUUUGAUAUUUAGGAUCAUAACCACUAGCCCUCCAUGCCCUAAUAUGAAAGGUUUUGCUUCUGAAAAUUUCAUUUGUUCAUAAUCUGUAACUCACUGGUCUUCAACUGGUGGAUCAUGGCCUGAUCCAAGGAAGGGGGGGUCAUAGCAGGAUCAUGACCACCAUGCACUUAUAUGGCAAAAGAUUAAGAAAUAGGUCCCCAAAUAUAAGUUUGGGUUAAAAGUGAGCUCUGGGUCUGAAAAAGUUGAUGGCUGUUGCAUAACUUAGUCACUUUUGAUAGCUUAGCCUUAUUUGAAUGAAAUGGUGUUUCCUAUAAAUAGGCAGCAUAAGUUUCAGCAAGCAAUGGUUGGGUUUUUUAUUAAAACAAACUUAUUGUUAGAAAUUGCAGAAGAGGUGCUUUCAAGCACAUGCUUGUGGGAAGCCAAGGAAAACCUCAAGGGCUCUUAGUGUUUGUUUUAUUUCUUGAUGAAUUCUCAAAACUGGGGACGUUGCUGUCUAUGAGUGUUGACUUCAAGCAGUCUUGUCUUCUGUAAUUUUCCACUUCUUUAUUACAUUUCAUUUUCAGUUGUGAAACAGAGGUCAAAAAUUUCCCCUUUAGUCAGGAAUCCGAAGUGUGAGCAGACAAGAGAUCUGAAGUGCACAUCAGGGAGGAUGUUGCUCCCAUAAAUUCUUAACUUUCAGAAUCCAUUUGUGAGAUAAGUGGCCUUUAAAAUUGUGUGGCACAUAACUAAGCUACAAUAACUCUUCGGACAACAGGACUCCAAACCAAAUUCAUCUUAUUACCUAAUAAUCAAGGGUUUUCUUUUAGUGAUUCAGCAUUUUUUGUCUGUAAUUUAUAGGCAUGCACUUGUUGAUAAAAUAAAGAUACCCUUGUGUAAAACAGAGAUAAACUAGGGUUUAAAGAUCUGAUAGCUUCCGCCGCCCCCCAGCAGCAGUGCAUUAACUCUGCUUUAUCGGCAUAAUUCCUGUUUUGCUUUAUUGAUUUCUGCAAGCCAAAAAAAGCUCCCCACAUCGUUCACCUUUCACUACCUGUACUACUCUCAACAUUGUUGUAUGCACUUAAAACAGCUGUUGCACCGUCAUGAAAAUACGAUCCUUUCCCAUUGUUUGUAUUGCUUUCGAUUACAGUGACACUUCCUUAAAAAAUGGUGCCGGGUCAUCCAUUUUAGUUGUAUGCCGCCUUUCCAUAGUCAAUACGGCUUAAGAUGAAAUGUGCUGCACGUGGUAUUUCUGUUAGCUAUUUUUGUUAACAGUGAGUCUCCCAGGCAGGUACAGCUGAUUAGAAAGCUGCAGUUGUCCUCUAUUCCCCCUUAUCCAACACAAUGACUUUUGACAGUGGAAACUCGUUUAUUUUCGUUUUAUAAGACCGUGAUGCUUUGCAAUACUUUUAUGACUCUAUGGGUGAUUGAGUAAGUUCGUUUUCUUUUGUGUUUAUGGGAAUGCUUUUUCCUUCUCUAGAGAAGUUCGAAAGAUAAAAAGGGUAAGAAAAUAACAUGCUUGGGUGAUUUCAGGGGGAGACAUACUACAUUAUACUGCUUGCAAGUCCCCCUUUGAAAAUGUGUGUCAGUGAAAUUUAAUAUGCUAAGCUGCUUUAUUAGCUUAUAAACUGGAUAGGUAGUAAAAACAACCUUAUUAUUUUUUACGAGUCCCAAGUUGAAAUCACACAGCUAGCAUCACUGAAGGCCUUUUCAUUUUCUUGUACUUGUGGAAACAGUUUAAAUUAUAUAGUCAUUCAUGUUUGUACCCAGGUAUAUAUAGGUUGUUUCAUUUGCUCCAGGCUGGUAUCCAAGGAAGUGGUAGAGGCUGGAAGCAGGGAUGAAAAAGGCACCUGAAUGAAACAAACCUAUGUGGUUGGCUUAGCUUUUCAUCUGCAGGGCUCCAGGUACGUCAGGCAUAUAUUAAAGCAGCACAUUGGAGGCUUAUAACUGCUGUAGCAUUGUAAGCAGCUCUGGAAUAGAGUUAAGUGUCCAUGAUUCUGCAAACAUGUGUCCUCUUAGAAUUGUGAUAGGAAAAUUUGUGUGUUUACCCGGAAAAGUGAUGGCAAGAGAGCAGUAAAAUGUCACCUUUACCGCCAUAUAGAUGACCAUGGUUAUGAAUUGGAUCCUGACAAAGGGUACUUUUGGAUGGGUGUUUAUUGUGGGGUCAAUGCUGCUCAUGGAUGUUAGUUUUUUUCCAGCAAAGGGUAAAUUUAGUAUGGAUUUGCCCUUUCAACAUAAAAUCCAUUUUUUAAAAAAAGUUUCAUGCCAGUGACCUGUUUAUGAUCGCUGAUUGGCCCAUCUGCAGUAUUCGCUCCCAGUAUGGAAGCACCCAAAGUUAGUUGAACUUGGGCCUCAGUAGAAUAUGACUCAAGUCCCAUCGCUGAGUGGAGGUUGGUCCAUUCAUGAGGCACUGCCCCAUCCAACCUUCAUCUGCCCUCAGUUUGUCCUCACCUGCUUGCCUUCUUGCCUUCUUACUUCCAAGAAGUUCCGGAGGUGGCACUGCCUGUAGCAACUUCCUCUUCCUUACUGUUAAGAGCUGCUCUUGCAGAACUCAGCAGGAGGAGGAGGAGGAAGAGGAGACAGAAUUAGAAUUGGCUUGCUCUGGUUGCCAUUGGCUCUGGCUGCACUUCCCCUUCCUUCUAGCCUACUAGUCUAAAUGGGGACCAGCCACCACUACCCUUGAUUUCACUGGGCAGCUAAGCCCAACAUACGUAUUCUGGAUCCAACCCCAAUGGGUUCAGUCUGCGCUCAGUUUAAAUGGAAGUUCUGUAGUAGUUCCUGCACCACUGAAUGGAGGUGGCACAUCAGAAUUACUUUGUGGAUUUUUCAAAUUUCAUUACUGCCGGGGGGGGGGGGGGCUGGAUCCAGUUCACGGGCUGUAUCCUUGCCUCCCGAAACCCCAUCUGUCGCCUGAUGUGACCCAUUUUCCUGUGCCUUUGUCAUUUGAAAUCAAACUGCUCUGGCAAAGGAACAGAUUUUGGCAGAGAGCCACAUCUUUACGUCCCAUACCCAUAUAUGACAUCAUAGAAUCAUAGAGUUGGAAGAGACCAUAAGGGCCAUCCAGUCCAACCCCCUGCCAAGCAGGAAACACCAUCAAAGCAUUCCUGACGGCCAUAUGGCUGUCAAGCCUCUGCUUAAAGACCUCCAAAGAAGGAGACUCCACCACACUCCUUGGCAGCAAAUUCCACUGUCGAACAGCUCUUACUGUCAGGAAGUUCUUCCUAAUGUUUAGGUGGAAUCUUCUUUCUUGUAGUUUGAAUCCAUUGCUCCGUGUCCGCUUCCCUGGAGCACCAGAAAACAACCUUUCUCCCUCCUCUCUAUGGCAUUCUUUACUAUAUUUGAACAUGGCUAUCGUAUCACCCCUUAACCUUCUCUUCUCCAGGCUAAACAUACCCAGCUCCCUAAGCCGUUCCUCAUAAGGCAUUGUUUCCAGGCCCUUGACCAUUUUGGUUGCCCUCCUCUGGACACGUUCCAGCUUGUCAGUAUCCUUCUUGAGCUGUGGUGCCCAGAACUGGACACAGUACUCCAGGUGAGGUCUGACCAGAGCAGAAUACAGUGGUACUAUUACUUCCCUUGAUCUAGAUGCUAUACUCCUAUUGAUGCAGCCCAGAAUUGCAUUGGCUUUGGUGUAGGGCAAAUGGGCUUGGCCAAAUCAGCUUUGUUGGUCAAGUGGGGAUGCCUGGCUUGCCUGAUUAGACUGAAUGUUCUCCAUCACUGCUUUUUUGAAAUGAUUCAUAUGAGUUAGGAUUCAGCAAGUUGACAUUAAAUUUUACUGUUUUGCUUUGCUAACCUUCAUAUGCGCAAUAUAAUUCAACAGCUGUGCACCAGUUCACACAUCAUACUUUUAAUGAGGGCCAAGAUGCUGGAAUCUUGGAAGCCACGUUUCAGGUUACAGACUCUGCUAACCCAGAAAUAGUACCUCGGGUUAAGAACUUUGCUUCAAGAUGAGAACAGAAAUCAUGUGGCAGUGGCGCGGCAGCAGUGGGAGCUAAAGUGGUACCUCAGGUUAAGAACAGUUUCAGGUUAAGAGCGGACCUCCAGAACGAAUUAAGUUCUUAACCCGAGGUACCACUGUACUGUACUGAAAUCCUGUCUGUAGGGGGCUGUGAACUUGAAUGGAACAGUGUGUGUGAGAGAGAGAGGGGGGGGGGGAGAGAGAGAUCAACCCUUUUCCUAGAGGCCAAUUGUUCUGAUCAAAAUUGUAAAGGAAUCUUCUGCCAUGCAGGCAGAAAGCAGCUUGGAAGGGAAGAGAUUUUGAUUGGAAAAACAACCUGUAGGGAAAGAGUUAAUCAUUCCCCACACCAUUCCAAUCAAAUUCACAGGCUCCUACAGCUGCAUUGAAGCAAAAAACAAAAAUAUCAGUAGACAUCCCAUGCAUCUCCCACCUCUUUGGACCUGACUAACCCCAUGUUGUAAGCUAACUUCCCUCUGCCUGGGAUGCUGAAGAAAAGAGAAACACACUCCUGUUUGGAAGAUAAUUUGUGCAAUUACUUUUAAGUUGCAGUCUUUGUUGUAAUUAUAGAACUGUGUUUUAAGCUAAAAGACCUUGCUUUGUGCAUAUUCCCCAAAUUACUUCUUCUUCCCCUAUUAAUUUUAGUGCUUUGCUGAUCUGAAUCCAAAAUACUUAGAUAUUCCCACAUUUUUCCUGGCAAUUGUCAGGCAGGAAGAACAGAGCUCAGCCCCAUGCUAACAAUUGGGUACAUAUAACAGCCAUAUUAUAAGUACUGUUUUCACACUCUAAACAUAUUUGGCGUUUGAAUUUGCCCCCAAGCAGUGAUGGUGCACUAUAUCUGACAGUGACGAAGAACAGCACAAUAUGUUCCUCUGUACAGCAAGGUUCCUGCUGUGCAAGACAAUACAAAAUCUUUUCUACUGCAUCUUUGUAAGUGAACAGCCCCUCUUGUGUGGGUCCUUGUGUGAUCUAACCAUCUGCAUGGAGGAACUAAAUAAAUUAGUCCCAAAUGGUGGAUCAGAGUCCCAGAAAGCCCAACAUGAUGGAAUACUACAAGGAGGCUUUCGGGCAAAACAGAUUUCUGAGUCAUUCUAAUUAUGAUCAGGCUUUUUCAUUAGAUGAAGCUGCUUUUAAUGAAAUGCAAAGAAUCAGUCACCUUCUUCUAAUUUGUACUAAAAGCUAUUUUGAUCAUGGUUUUUCCAUGCAGUGCUUUCCCUUAAAUCCACCUUAGGGAGGCCCAGGAAACAUUUUUCAUCCAAGGAUGGGCAAAAACCAAUUAGGAUUUAAAAGACAAAAAACAAGAAAACCCCAACCAAACAACAACAACAAACCCCCUGAAAAGUGUGUUAUGGUUGAGAUGUGAAUAGUUUGGAGAGAAGGCACUACGGUACAUGCUAAAGGUAAAUGACUUAUGAUUAAUGUGUCUCACAGCAACAUUAUUCUUUCCGUACUGUGCAGUCAUCACCACAGAAAGUAGCAAUUGUGAUUGCCAGUGCUGUAAGCUCAGCUCAAAUUGGAGAGCCAAUGUGGUUUCCUGACAAAUCAGGAAGUCCCCCGUUAAAAUCUCACUUGAUGGCCUUUUAGACAUGCCACAGUGUCUCAUCCAAGGCAACCAUCCCCCAUCUGCAACAUAGAGAUGAUAAUAAUGCUUACCAUACAGGGUUGGUGCAAGGAGAACAAAAAAAGGUAAUGUGUGUGAUUUUCUUUUAAAUUCAGUUCUAUGCAAUUACUAAGCUUUAUUAAAUGUAGGGAAUUGUAAUUGUCAGGUUAGUACAGUGGUACCUCUACUUACGAAUAACUCUACUUACGAAUGUUUCUAUUUACGAAUGGAGCUCCGUCCGCCAUCUUGGAUGUGGUUUAGAUAGGAUUUUUUCUACUUACGAAUUUUUAGAUAGGGUUGCUUCUACUUAUGAUUUUUUUAUCCCAAUGCAUUCCUAUGGGAUUCGACUAACAAUUUUUUUCGAUGCGUAUUCAGAACGCAUUAAAUUCGUAAGUAGAGGUACCACUGUAGAUCCUCAUGGUUGACUUAAGCACUCAACCUUGGGAAGCUUCUCAAAAAGUUAGCCGCCUUGUAUUAUUAUAUGCUUCAGGAACCUGGAUCUCUCCAUAAUGAAGGCUGUUUGGACUACUGGUUUGAGCGUUUAAGGUCUGUUCUUGUUUAGUUAAAUGUGAAUUUAUUUGUAGCAUGCAUCCCAAACGUGAUCCAUCCUGCCCUUUAAUAGAGCAGUUCAUCCCAUAGCAUAGUAAUCCACCCUCUGAAUAUACAUAAGGGUUUGGUGGAUUCUGUUUCAGUGUAUCUGACGAAGUGUGCAUGCACACGAAAGCUCAUACCAAAAUAAAAACUUAGUUGGUCUUUAAGGUGCUACUGAAAGAAUUUUUUUAUUUUGCUUCGACUCAGACCAACACGGCUACCUACCUGUACAUAGUAAUUUUUAUUUUUCAUGUUGUGCCCUGACAGUAACAAGCAUGGCUGCUGUGCAGAGCUGCGUUAUCACACAAGGACUUUAGAAACAUGUUUACAUAAUGAAAGAUCACACACCAUUGAACUGGGAUUUUUACAAGCAUUCUGGUAGAAGCACAAUGAAGCCUUUUACAAUUACUGGUGAAAAGUAGAAUUUUGCCUAAGGCUGCGGACUAAUUUAGAAGACUGGAACUCUUGUUCUCAAUUCUUCCUUAGAUUUUUCUCAAUGGCCAGAGGCAAAUUGCUCAGCUUUCCCCCACCCCCUGGUCCUCAAAGGAUUGCUGUGAGCCUGAGCCUAUUGUUUGUAAGGAUCAGCAAGGUUCCUAGAAAGUGCACUCUGUAUAAAAUAAAGCAAACAAAUUAUUACAGGAAAUUAUUGAUGGUGUUGUUGUUUUUAAAAAGGAUCCCAGCAUUUAAAGCAGGAGACACACAAGGAGUGACCACACUGUAUGAUAAUGUGCAUUCUGUGUUGGAUUUUGGGGGGUGCUGUGUGCAUGACAUCGUCUCUGUACCACAGUCCAAAGUAGAAUGGAUGAAAUCUGUGCCAAAAAUGCACUUCUCGAGUGCUUGUUGUGUACUUGUGUACACAGAGUGCUUUCUCAGGUCACCUCCUUUUGGGGCAGACCUACUCAUGUCGCAGGGCUGUGCCUCUCCCUUCACUGCGUUUAACAUGUCUAUGAAUGAAUUUGGUAAAAUAGGAAGCAGUAAAGUAACUCAGUUGUUUGUUUGUCCGUCUCUUUCUCUCUCUGUAUAUCCUCUGUAUAGCAACACACCAGUUCCCUCUCUUUCAAAAGAUUGUGAAAAACCUUUAGCGCCCCCCCUUUUUUAAAAAAAGAAAGGUCUGUUGAAACCCUAAUUGAGGGGAGAGGAAUAGAGAACACACACUAGUUUGAAAAUGUGACCACCCAUGUGUACAGAAGACACAGAUGAUAUUUAUUUCACAAGAUUUAUAUACCACUUUAUUGCAAAAAAAACCCCUCAAAGUUGUUUAGAAAAAGAAUAAAACAAUAAAAUUAUUCGUCAAAAGAGUUUAAAAACUAGUAUUUAAAACAUUAAAAAUUAUAUUUAAAAACUGUUGUCGGCCUCUGUCUGUCUUGAGAGACAGUGGAAUGUACUUCCAGGGAUGAAGUCAAACCACUAGAGAAUCACAGCACCUGCUGUGGUUGCAGAGGCUGGUGACUCGUAAUUGUGCCUCCCAUGUUGUUUGUGCUGCAUUAGCAGCACCAAAGCGAACUCUUUGGGGCGCAAGCUGGUCCAGCAGUAGUGUCCACAUGGAUGCUGAAAUGGUAAAGGUAAAGGGACCCCUGACCAUUAGGUCUAGUCGUGACCAACUCUGGGGUUGCGGCGCUCAUCUCGCGUUAUUGGCCGAGGGAGCAGGCGUGCAGCUUCCAGGUCAUGUGGCCAGCAUGACAAAGCCGCUUCUGGCGAACCAGACCAGCACACGGAAACGCUAUUUACCAUCCCGCUGUAGUGGUACCAAUUUAUCUACUUGCACUUUGACGUGCUUUCGAAUUGCUAGGUUGGAAGGAGCUGGGACCGAGCAACGGGAGCUCACCCCGUUGCGGGGAUUCGACCUUCUGAUCGGCAAGCCCUAGACUCUGUGGUUUAACCCACAGCGGCACCCUGAAUGAACCUCUAAAUGCAGGUACACAUGUGCAAGAUUUUCCUGCAUGUUGAGUAUCUUGGCUAACCCUACUGAAAUAGGUUUGGGUUCUAGCCAUCGAUGAUGAAGGAGCUGAGAUUUCUCUUUAUUUCUUGUUUGUCACAUAACACUGAUGUGUUUUGAAGUGAGUAGGGGAUCAGAAGGAGUAACAGUUACUGAGCAGAGGUAUCUUUCUGUCCUCUUCUGUGCCUUUUAAUAUACCAUGCUGCUGGCUGCCAGCGCUGUUAUCUCUACCCUAAUCUGUUUUUUCAUAAUGUCUUGGCCAUUGCAAGCUCUGCAGGUUUGAUCUCAUGUUAAUACAAUAAUGGAUUUAUCUUUGCAAAUGCCAACAAGGUAAUUCUACUGAUACUAUCUGCAGUUUUGAGCAGUUUAAUUGCAGGUAAUUUUUAAUGGCUGACUCAUAAGAGAGAAAAUGAAGCUUGGUGGUAGAGGCAGAUGAAAAGCUGUUCUCCGAGACAAAAUUCCCAUCGUCAGCACCAACAUCUUGUCGUCCACCCCCUAAAAUUAAUCGCUUCCAUUAAUUUUUAUGAAUUGUAAGCACACAAUGAUUUCUUACACAUCUUUACUCAGAAGUAAGUGUGAUUAGGUUUGCAGCCUUCAUGCUGAGAUGACUAACAGGCACAUACCCACAAGUGAUAUAUAUAUAUAUAUAUAUAUAUUGAAGGAUUCAUCCUCCAACUGAAUUUAUAGCCUGGGAUUCUUGAAACACAAAACUGAGUCCUAGCUUUGACAGCAAGUUGCGGUAUAUCGGGAAUGUUUUCAAGACGCCACCUUUACCCCCAUGAUAAAUUGGUUAAAAAAGCACAUCGUUCCAAUGAUGUAGCCCUUGUAUUCAGAUUACCUAUUCUAGGUCAACAUUGUACAGUACUACAAAUUUAAAAUGGGUUUGACUUCUUCCUUUCCCUUCUGUAGAAGUAUUGAAAGAUACAUGUGGGUGUUGUAAAUCCUUUCCAGCAUCCUUUAAAUAAAAAAGCCCAUAAGUCUUUUCAUGAAUGCACUGAUCUAGUAGGGUGCUGCAGCCCUUUCUCGGUUGUUCUGUAAAUCCAUGUGUACGUAGCACAUGGAUACCUAGGGUGGAAAUAUUUUGCUGAUCGCAAGAAGACUUCAAAAGUUAGGGCUAAAGUAGCAUUGUGCAAUGUAGAGACAUAGUUACGGUAAAAUAUGCUCAUAUGUUGCAUCAUUAAUGCCUUAAUGUCUGAUUGAGUAAAUGCUUUCUAAUUCUAAUUCAGCAUUACCAGACUAUCUAGUGCUGAUGGGAAAUGCCUAUGAUGUAAUCUGAGCUACCCAUGUGAUCAUAAUAUCUAUACUUUACCACCACAAAUCUGCUUCCCUGGAGCUGGCAAUGAUUCCUAUAUUAAAUGGGUAGUCAUGUCACAAAAGGGACCUAUAAAACCAGGUCUGAUUUGAAGUGUACUUGGUAGAAACCUGAACCAGGACUUUAGAAGAACAAAAUUUUAAAACAAAGACCAAUUUAGCAAGAAUAAAUGUGUUGAUCUUUAAAUCGCCUUUGUUGUUUCUAUUAAUUAUACACAACUAAUUAACCACCCCUUUGAUUGUGAUUCAUAGCAAGUUUUAAAGUGACUCUUCAACUGCAUAUAGUGAGGUUCUGUUGGAAUUGGUUUGUAUGUGUUACUUUUCCAAAAUCAAAUCUGGGAUCUGCUCCCAGCUAGGAAUUUGGGGCUAUGUCUAUAAAGUGCCUCCCAGUGGCAGGCCUUGGCAGAGGUUUGUGUGGGGUUUGUGUCCAUGUGUGCCGUUUCCAGGAAGGUAUACUAAUUGUGCAGGACCUUUGAGUCAUAGUUAUUCUUUUGGCUGUUCUGUCUGCUGAUUUUGCUAGACCCUUUCAUUUCAUUUCCCCUCCAUUUUUUUUACAUUAGCAGCAAUCAGCAUAGAAACUGACACAACUCUCAUGUGGUUUGUGGUCUCAGACAUGCUGAAUUAGCACACCUAAGACCAGUAGAACAAGGAGGAGAACAUAGUAUAUGUUAAACAUGUAUGCUUAUAUGUUGUGUGGUACAAAACAGCUUCUGGAGAAGUUUUAAAGAUAUUUGUUUAUUUAAGAACAUUUGUUAUACCAUUUAUUUUAAAAAUAUCCAAAGCAGUUUACAACUUUUUGAAAAAGCACUACAACCAAUAAAAGAAUUAAAGCUAUAUAGCAUUUAUUUUUUAAAAACCCUAAAGUAAUGGAUGGUUCUCAACUAAUUGUUACUCAGAGUAGACCCAUUGAAAUUAAUUAGCAUGGCUAGGUUAGGUCCAAUAAUUUCAAUAGGUCUACCAUGAGUAAAAUGUAGUUGAAUACCACUCAGUAUCCAAAGUGCUGAUAUCAUGUGCCAGACCAGACCAAUAUUACUGGUUGGGGAAGAGCUGAGUGAACAAAUUAAGUCUUCAGCAUAUGCUGAAAACCCAAUAUGGUUGGUGCAUGCCUAAUUUCUAAGGGGAGGCUGUUCCACAUGGCAGAUGCGACCACUGUGGAAGCUCUCUUCCAUUCACCAGUCUAGCUCUAUUGUGCAUACAUACCGUAUAACAACCGUUCUUCCUCUUCUCUUCAGAAGACUGAUAUGGCUUGCAGAUGCAUAGUAGAGUUUCAUGCAUAUGUGUUCGAGAUUUGCUCGGGCGCUAAAACCAGGGGCCUGUGCAUUUCACUCCAGAAACAACAAGGUAGACGCAACUCCCCUGAAAGCCUCUGUUGGAAAACGUACCCCAAGACUCGUCCCUCUGCAGAUAACUAAUUCAGACAUAUCCAUUUUGACAUGGAUGUGUGCAAGGGCUCCCUUUGAAAAGCUGUCCCGUGAGCGCCAAACAUUAUAUAACGGGCCUUUAAUGCCAUCACUGCUUUUGAAAGGAAUUUUGUCAGGAGCUGCUUGAGGGUGAAUGGUGCAAGUAUCUGGAGCGCCUGUAGGGACGUCCUCCCCUGCUUGCCCCCUACAGAGAGAGAAAAGGGGAGGCUGCCAUGCGCUUUGAAAACUGAAAAGCUUUCGGUUUAAAAAUAUGUGUGUGAGAAACCCCGUACCCAGGCAAGUUUAGGUAUUCAGAGCCUCCAGCAUAUAUAACACUUCACUUUGGCAUUUGAGGAACUGUAAGUGGGGUUUUUGUGUUUGUUUCUUUUUGUUUGGGCAGCAGCAGUGGUAGCUACAGCUGCUCAUGGAGCUUCCUCCCCCCCUUCCUCCCCCUGUUUUUUUUUAGCACCAUUUUAAUCCCUGACAUCAAUCAAGCCACAACACUUAAAGGGGGCACAAAAGCUCAAUUUGUUCUAGUAUUGCCCUUGACAUGCUUUUCUCUCAUUGGGGAGGCGGGAGGACAGAAUUGUAAUGUAAUAUAAUAGAAUUGCAUUAACUUCUUCUAGCGAUAGAGGGAAGGAGGAAGGUGAACAGUGGUGCCGAGCUUUUGAAGAGAGCUGCUCAGUAUGUAAAAGCAACUUAAUUUGGCAGUCUCCGCCGUGUUAGCUGCUUGCUUGGAUGAAUCAUUAAAAAUUUUGGGCCCUGCAUCAGAUCUCUACAAUAUGCUCUGGGUGCCCAGACUCCAUUGUCACUACUGGCCCAAGGGAUGUUCCAAGCUCUCUUAACAAACAGGGUAAUAUCAGAUAAAGGGUAGGGAGUAAUCAGGUUGUUACACUGAGUUGUCAGAUCUUAGAGCAAGGCAAUGUUCUCCAUGUAUCAGGCAAUGCAGAGGUAGGUACGAAGGAUUAGGCUAUAAGAGAAAAGCAUGAAAGGAGAGAAGCAAUACAUUUCAAGCAUAAAGCAACAAAUGCAGUUUGCAUGUGUGUACAGAUUGUGUUUCCCGGUUGUAUUCCUUUAUAACUGUGUCAAGCCAACUCAACCAACUCCCGAAUCCAGUUUGACUGAAUCCAGUGCACAAACUUUGACUGAAUCCAGUGCACACAUAGUGCAGGUUGCAGUCUGUCUUCUGUUUAGUGCUAAACUGUGUAUGUAAUACCUCUUGUGUUGCUGUACAUACAUAUUUUUCAUAUAUUCUAAGUAUGAUGUCAUAAAGUAUUUUCAUUUAAAGGUAUUUUGUAUGCAGAUAGGCUUAUUGCAAGAUUUAUGUUUGUGCUCAAUUGUUAAUUUUUAAAUGCAGCAUCACCUGGUAAAUAUAAAUGCUUGUUAUUUCUAUUUUCAUUGGUGCGGCCUCUUAAACUUGGCUUAGUUUAGGCCCUUAGCAUAUCUUAAUCUGGCCCUGCAUACAAUUUAAUGCUGGGCACAAGAUCCUUGUCAAUGGCAUCACUGUUGAUAAUAUAAUUAUGGUGGUGGUUCAGAGACAUGGAACCUAGUUCUUUCAACCUCCACAAUCUCAAAUGUAGGACAGUUAUUAUUAUUUUCAACGUGGAACAUAGUUAAACAAAAGGCUUCACAAUCAAGAGCAACUCCUGAACAAAGAAGAUUCGAAAGAUCCAACAACGAAGUAUGGGAACCAAAGGUAGCAAACACUGAACAUUCCUUGUGGCAGGAACAUAAGAAAAUAUUGCCCUGGUUUCUACCCUGUUUUAAUGCACAAUAUUUCAAAUGCUUAACUAUAAUAGGAAUGAAUCUUGACCCCCCUGUCUCUUUCAUCCCUUCCCCUUAUGAGAAAUGACUCUGCUUCUUCCACGAGGGAAGAAAAUUGUUUGCGUGGGUGCUGUGAUUUUGAGUUGAAAAUAAGUAUCAAAGCUAAGAGCAAACAUUUGAAAGAAAUGUGAACUUAAUUUGACCGGAUUCAAAGUGGGUGUUAAUUGCUCCACUUUGACCAAAAGUUAAACAAUGCUGCCUUUUGAACAGCAGACACAGCAGCCCUAAGGCAAUGGGAUUUGAAAAACCAAAAAGACCUAGGGAAGCAUAGUUCCAUUACAGUGUGAGCAUAUUUAACUCAUUGCAAGAAACAUGAUAAUUCAGUGGUUCCCACAUUCAUUCCACCCCCCCACCCCCCAUGGACCACUUGAAAAUUCCUGAGGGUCUUGAUGGAAUAUUUAAUUAUUUUUCUUUCUGUGGUAGCAAUUGUAAUACUGUAUGAUUUUUAUUGUCUUUUUACAGACACCCUGUAGAACACCUGAAUGAAGCUUGUGGACCAUCAGUGGUCUGUGGACCACAGUUUGGGUACCCUGUGACAAAUGAUAGCAUUUUAUUUAGUUGAAGUUUUGUUACUUACGGAACAAAGGGAAAGGUAGUAAUGUAAGAAUGUCUAAUGUUGGUAUAACGAAAUUGACAGUAAGGAAUACAAACAUCGUAAUCUCACAUGACAGUGCAUUCAUUGGACUGGCAUAUAAAUACAUUUAUGCCUGCUGAUUCAUCAGUCUGUCUCGGUCAUGUAUAGAAUGAUCAGUUAUCAAUUAUAACUGCAUUCAUAUAUAACAUUUAAGCCCUCCAUAUUCGUUGCUCUCUAAUUCCCAUCACUCACCAGCCAGCAAGGCCAGUAGCCAGGGAUGAGUUGGAGUCCAGCAACAUCUGGAUGUUUAAACUGCAGUGUGCAUAAGCUGCAUAUUGGCACAUGUAACUCAGGUACUCCUGUUAUGCUUCUCCUUUCGUCCAUCUGGUAGCAACAAGCAGUAUAUCUGCUCAAGACUGGAUCCAGAAAUCCCAUUCACAGUGAGUAGAAUGGCCUUAACUCUGUUCAGGACUGUCUAGCACCACCUAUAGAUAUAUACCAUUAUUCCCUGAUUUAGAGCAUUAAAGAUUCAAACCUCUCCAUUCACUUAAUAAUGGAGACAGGGUGUGUGUGUGUUACUGUAUCACAUACAGGCAUCUCCUUCAUUAGGGCAAUGAAAUCCUGAAGGAGGAAGAGGAGAGUUCAGUAUACAUCUCAGAGGCUUGAAGACACUUAAAUUAUGUAUACUUUGGUGUGAAAUAUUCCAGUGUUCUGAAUUGUUGUUCAGCAGUAUUGUUGAGGUACAAAAUCAGCUCUGAUUGAACCAGAAAGCUUGUAUAUAUGUAUUUAAAAGAUCCAUAUGUAUUGUUGUUGUUUAGUCGUUUAGUCGUGUCCGACUCUUCGUGACCCCAUGGACCAGAGCACACCAGGCACUCCUGUCUUGCACUGCCUCCCGUAGUUUGGUCAGACUUAUGUUCGUAGCUUCGAGAACACUGUCCAACCAUCUCGCCCUCUGUCGCCCCCUUCUCCUUGUGCCCUCAAUCUUUCCCAACAUCAGGGUCUUUUCCAGAGAGUCUUCUCUUCUCAUGAGGUGGCCAAAGUAUUGGAGCCUCAGCUUCAGGAUCUGUCCUUCCAGUGAUCACUCAGGGCUGAUUUCCUUAAGAAUGGUUUGAUCUUCUUGCAGUCCAUGGGACUCUCAAGAGUCUCCUCCAGCAGCAUAAUUCAAAAGCAUAUCCAUAUGUAUAGUCUUCAGCAAAGACUAUGGGGAGAUAUACAAAAAGAAAAGAAAGUUAAAACAUAAUUUUAAAUAAUGUCUUUAAAAGCCUGGGGAAAAAUGUAUUAGUGUGGUUCUGGGAAAAGCCCAACAAUAUUUGAGCCAGAAAUUAAUCCCUAAGAAUGUAAUUCCAUGGUGCCACCACUGAGAAGGCACUCUCUCUCUCUGGUCACCACCCACCUUACCUCAAAUAUUAAACAUCCUGCUAAACAACAAAUCACAUUUGUUGGUGGGUUUUUAACCAAUCCCACCCUUCCAAGAAAGAACAAAGGAUGGCACUUAGAAUGGCUAUACAAUUUUUUUAUCUGCAGAGCAUCCUAUUGCAGACAGGGCUCACAGAUGGUGUCUGGCCCAAGGUAGCACAGAGGCAAUUUGAGCCUUAGUCCAAAAGGGAUCUUAAAAAACUAUGUAAAACUGAUGCCUGAUAAUAUCUACCUUCCAAAAACCUAGUUCUAUUUAAAAAAUGUCAUUAGCAGGCAGUGCCUUAAGGUGGAAAUAAAGUAUCUUUUUGUUGUUGCCUCUGUACUGUGCCAUACCUGUUCACAGUUCUGUUUCACACAUCCAGAAUUUUGAUAACUUCAUUAGUGGUUCAAGUUGGUAACCCAACCUUACAUACAUUCCAUGACAUUGUGGCUGCUUGGGGAAUGGAAAGAAACUUUCACAAGUAGUGCCAUGGCAAUUGUUGCAUAACUGCAUGCAUCACCAAGUUCACCCUCUAUAAUUGUACACAUCUCCAAGGGUAGUUAUGGGAGAGGCACAAAAAGUCCCAGAAGAUAUAAAGAAGCUUUGUAAUGUGUUGCUUUUCUUGUCCAUGCCUGCUUUAGCACCAGGAUGCAACUGGGGCAAGUCCCCCAAUGCAAACAAUGUGUGUGUUUCCCCAUCUUAGUUGCUUAACGCGUACAAAGUGGCUUUCCCACAGCCUGAGGAUUUAAGCUGGGGAGUGAAACGUCAUGUUUAACUAUAAGACAGCUUUGAAUAGAAAUUGAUAUUUGUCAUUUUUUACUUAGUCAAACUAUAGUAUAUCUACUACAUUUGGUAAACAGAGCACAUGGGCCACAACCUUCUCUUCCUGUGAGUUGCAGCCAACUAAGUCUUGCUCAAAGUAGAUCCAUUGAAAUAAACCCAAGUUAGUCAUCUCCAUUAACUUCAGUGGGUCUACUCUGAGUAAGACUAGCACUGGAUACAACCAACUGGCCCCUAUCCAGAGAUCUAGAUUUGUGGGCACCUUCCUGCCAGCAGAUGAUCAGUGGUGCACAGAGGGAGUGUCACUUACUGUAUAUUGGUAGGUCAUAGGUGCAUUAAGGUACUGAAAAGAGGUUAUUCCUUCAUUCAGUCAAUCACAGCAUUUCUAUACCGCCGAUAAAUAAACAGCUUUGUGGACAGUUCACAAAAUAAAAGUUAAAGCAAUGAAGUAUAGAUAUUAAUCAAGUUAAAAUAGCACCAUGGCACAACGAGCAAUGCAGAAAACAAUAGUGUAAAAACCUUUUAUUUGUCCUCCUGGUUGCAUGGGAGGUGAAGAAGCAUGCUAUUGUAGUGCUGCGUGCUAAUAUGGUCGUUGAUAGGAACAAUGGACAUUAAAUUGCUUGGAAGCCACUCAACAACGUUUUCGUUUCUCUUUAGUAUUAACACCAGAGGUACUACCCCUCCCCUAACACCCCUACACCCCUAAGGUGUAUGGUCACUUAAUAUGUUACAAAACUAGCAAGUACGCUGCUUAAGGUGCUUCACACAGAGUAGUCAAACUGGUGUCUUCCAGAUGGUUUUUAAGACUACAACUCCCAUCAUCCUUGACCAUUUGCCAUGCUGCCUGGGGCUGAUGCAACAUCUGGCAGACACCACAUUGGCUACUCCUCUAAGAGGGAUUCUGACUUUACAGCUGUCUCUAUUUUUGCUGUAGGAAUCUGGGGCCAGAAUCUGAAAGGAAAUGUUAAUCUUAAAAUUUUGUAGUGGCAGAAGAGAAUUAAUUUUCUUUUUUCCAGGGUAUUCUAGCAGCAGCCCAAGGCAUCACAUCCUGAAGGAUCUGUGCAUUGUCUUGAGUAUAGACGACAUUCUUGUUCAUUCAGCCAUUGUAUCAUCCCCACAAACUAUGGACCCCCUGGUACACAAGAUCAACCUUCAAAACCUCCUUAAAAGGUGAAUUUGAAAUGAGUUUCAUGGCAAAAACAAUGAUAGAAGACAAACCAGAGAAAGGAUAUUGAAGCAGACAAGCAACCACACACAACCACACCAACCAACCAACCAUCCAUCCAUGUUCUUAGCAACGACGAGAUAUCAGGGAGGGCUAAAAACAAUCAUGUGUCAACAUAGAAAAUAUAUUUGGUAACAGAAUUUCAACAGCUGCAAUGUGGAUUAUAUAGCAUUAACUGUUUGGCAGGAAACACUAGCUGGAAAUGGCAUGAAGUUAAUUGUCAUCAGCAGAGGUACAGCUAUAGUAGCUGAUUUCAGAUGGUAUGGGUGCUCUUGCCAAGUUGUUGGGGCACUUGCUUGCUUCCCCCCC